UGGCUGGGGGUGAAAGGCCAAUCAAACCGGGAGAUAGCUGGUUCUCCCCGAAAGCUAUUUAGGUAGCGCCUCGUGAAUUCAUCUCCGGGGGUAGAGCACUGUUUCGGCAAGGGGGUCAUCCCGACUUACCAACCCGAUGCAAACUGCGAAUACCGGAGAAUGUUAUCACGGGAGACACACGGCGGGUGCUAACGUCCGUCGUGAAGAGGGAAACAACCCAGACCGCCAGCUAAGGUCCCAAAGUCAUGGUUAAGUGGGAAACGAUGUGGGAAGGCCCAGACAGCCAGGAUGUUGGCUUAGAAGCAGCCAUCAUUUAAAGAAAGCGUAAUAGCUCACUGGUCGAGUCGGCCUGCGCGGAAGAUGUAACGGGGCUAAACCAUGCACCGAAGCUGCGGCAGCGACGCUUAUGCGUUGUUGGGUAGGGGAGCGUUCUGUAAGCCUGUGAAGGUGUGCUGUGAGGCAUGCUGGAGGUAUCAGAAGUGCGAAUGCUGACAUAAGUAACGAUAAAGCGGGUGAAAAGCCCGCUCGCCGGAAGACC
rnacentral:rRNA from 1 species